GACGAACGCUGGCGGCGUGCUUAACACAUGCAAGUCGAACGGAAAGGCCCUGCUUUUGUGGGGUGCUCGAGUGGCGAACGGGUGAGUAACACGUGAGUAACCUGCCCUUGACUUUGGGAUAACUUCAGGAAACUGGGGCUAAUACCGGAUAGGAGCUCCUGCUGCACGGUGGGGGUUGGAAAAUUUCGGCGGUUGGGGAUGGACUCGCGGCUUAUCAGCUUGUUGGUGGGGUAGUGGCUUACCAAGGCUUUGACGGGUAGCCGGCCUGAGAGGGUGACCGGCCACAUUGGGACUGAGAUACGGCCCAGACUCCUACGGGAGGCAGCAGUGGGGAAUAUUGCACAAUGGGCGGAAGCCUGAUGCAGCAACGCCGCGUGCGGGAUGACGGCCUUCGGGUUGUAAACCGCUUUCGCCUGUGACGAAGCGUGAGUGACGGUAAUGGGUAAAGAAGCACCGGCUAACUACGUG
rnacentral:rRNA from 1 species